ACUUUACAAUGCGGGAAACCGUGAUAAGGGGACACCGAGUGCCAGCAUCAUAUGUUGGCUGUCCAGAUGUGUAAAAUACAUCUGUUAGCAAGGGCCGGGCAAGACCGGUGCCAGCCGCCGCGGUAACACCGGCGGCCCGAGUGGUGAUCGUGAUUAUUGGGUCUAAAGGGUCCGUAGCCGGUUUGGUCAGUCCUCCGGGAAAUCUGACGGCUCAACCGUUAGGCUUUCGGUGGAUACUGCCAGACUUGGAACCGGGAGAGGUAAGAGGUACUACAGGGGUAGGAGUGAAAUCUUGUAAUCCCUGUGAGACCACCUGUGGC
rnacentral:rRNA from 1 species